GCGCACCGUCAGUGAAGCUCGGGUCCCCUAGGAACCCGGAGGGGAGUGGCUUGUCAGGGAUUUUUAGACAGGGAACGGAAACCGUGAAGGCAGGUGUAAUGGAAGGAAAAUACAGCUGGAACGAGCUCAGGACCCACCGUGCCAGACAAGACGCAGGGAGGGAAAAGGCAGCUAAAGGAGGGGGCGUCAAACAGGACAGGAAACACAUAGUUUCACUGGAAUUUGGAAAAGGAAGAAGUUGGAUGAUGUCAACCAGAGAUUAGCUUGAACCCUACUUCAAGGAACUCAGAAGAGCUUAAAACCACAAGAUGGAAGAACCCUGAGGCCCCAAAUAAAUCCUUGGAGGAAUGCUGCCCAGAAUUGCAUGACCAGAAAAGCCUGUGUUGGAUUUGACUUUUUUAAAUUAAA